CAAUAGCGUAUAUUUAAGUUGUUGCAGUUAAAAAGCUCGUAGUUGGAUUUCUGCCGAGGACGACCGGUCCGCCCUCUGGGUGAGUAUCUGGCUCGGCCUGGGCAUCUUCUUGGAGAACGUAGCUGCACUUGACUGUGUGGUGCGGUAUCCAGGACUUUUACUUUGAGGAAAUUAGAGUGUUUCAAGCAGGCUUACGCCUUGAAUACAUUAGCAUGGAAUAAUAAGAUAGGACCUCGGUUCUAUUUUGUUGGUUUCUAGAGCUGAGGUAAUGAUUAAUAGGGAUAGUUGGGGGCAUUCGUAUUUAACUGUCAGAGGUGAGAUUCUUGGAUUUGUUAAAGACGGACUACUGCGAAAGCAUUUGCCAAGGAUGUUUUCAUUGA
rnacentral:rRNA from 1 species